rnacentral:rRNA from 1 species
UACGUAGGGUGCAAGCGUUGUCCGGAAUUAUUGGGCGUAAAGAGCUCGUAGGCGGUUUGUCGCGUCUGCUGUGAAAACUCGGGGCUUAACUCCGGGCCUGCAGUGGGUACGGGCAGACUAGAGUGCGGUAGGGGAGACUGGAAUUCCUGGUGUAGCGGUGAAAUGCGCAGAUAUCAGGAGGAACACCGGUGGCGAAGGCGGCUACCUGGACAUCAACUGACGCUGAGACGCGAAAGCGUGGGGAGCAAACAGG